UCUCCGCCGCGCUGGGGGGCGGGGCAGGGCCGUGACGUCAUCGACGGGGUGGGGAGGUGGGAGCGCAAAAUGGCGGUGCGGUGAUUGUGGAGCUGUCGGGGCGGGAGAGGGUUUUGAGGUCGUCGGGUCCAGCCGUCAGCGUGGCAUUGCUACUGUGACUCUAACCUCGAAACCUCUAAACUCCCAAAACACUAAACUACAUCACCCAGCGCCAAAUCCAGGCGCCUCUUAAACACCUCCGGGGUUGGUGAUUCCACCACCUCCUUCGGCAAUUCAUUCCAAUGUUUGACCACCAGACCAGUAAAAAAGACUUUUUUGUCUACUAUCUAAUCUCCAUCUCCCCUGUCUCAGCUUGAGGCCGUUUUUGAGGUCCUCUCACUGCAGUGUAGAAGAGGCUGGACUCCAGUUAGCUGGGGAGAGCCAUGAGGUUCUCCUGAGCCUCGUCCAGGCUAAACUACCCCAGGUCCCUCAGCCGCCCCUCAUAAACGUGUGGGAAAAAGGAAAGUCCCUUUUAUUAGGCCUUAUGUAUUGAAUCUUAACUACAAAACACGACUGCAUUUUUUUUUCCUUUUUGCUACUAAACCAGGACUGAUUCAGGGUGAUGACGUAUAAUUUGACAGAUGAGUGUGUGAUCAUUUUCAGUGCUAAGCCUGGCUAAAUGUGUACUGUGGGGCUGCAGUGAGUGGCUUGAAAAGUCUUGAAAAGGUCUUCAAGGAUGUGGAUUUCCUGACCUGUGCAGUGGGUGCCUCUGCCCAGGGAAAGGCUCCCUCAGGAAAACUGCCAGAGCUGCUGGUUGUCCUUGAGCUCCCAAACACCCUCUGCUUAGGCUGGUCUUCCUCAGCUAUAACCUUUGAAAGAAAUCAAAGGGAAUCUGUCCUUAUUUUCUCACAUAUUUGUGACAGCAUGUAUGAAGUGCCAAGACUUAGGAGGAAAAGGAGAUGAUACGUUUCAGAUCCAGUGAGGCACAGCUGAAAAAACUGAUCUAAUGAAAGACCAAAAGAACGCUGUGGGGCACAGAAGCCUUGUGAAGCUGUUGGUAAUAGUUGAAGUUGUCAUGUGACCACUUCUGCAGAUUUAGGAACAGCUGGUAAAUUUGCAGAGGAGAGUUAAUGCCCAGGAAAGCAAGGGCUUUGAUCUGGGAUUAGACCUGUGUGUAUAGAUCUGUAGAUAUAUAGCAAUUUCUUAUUCAUGGCAGAAUGGUUUCUUGAAGUUCCUGCAAACCUGGAAACAGGUUUUUGAAUCUCCUUGAUAAUCCUGUGUGGAAGCUGUCAGGCGUGGGGCACUCCUGCAUGUUUAGAGCUCCUACACAUUUCCAAAUUGAGAAGUGCGAGAGAGAGUCAUCUUAGCAAGAGAAAAGCUCCCUCCUGUGGAAGAGAUGAACCUCUGCUGUGACAAGGAGCAACCAUAAGGGCAUUACACCGUGAUAUUAAAUUAGCAGGGAAAGGGGUUACAAGCACGGUGGGACUUUGCAAAUACUGAAAUGCAAAACCCUGCUCCUGUUAUUUUUUUCUCAAAGUAAAUUUUUCAUAUUUUGUAUGGCUUAUACCUAUAACUGUAUGUCAAUUAUAACUGUUCGCUGUGAGUAAAACUGGAUUGUUUACAUAAUGUAAUGUGGUCACAGUGAACUCUAUAGUGUUAAAGGGAUCUAAAGCAGCUGAUAUUAUUACAGAUUUUGCUUUCUGUAGCUCUUUGCUGACAAACCUUAGUAUUUUGGAAAUUUGUGUGAAUUCGAGU